rnacentral:rRNA from 1 species
ACUUAAGGCCAUACAACCCUGAGCAAACCCGAUCUUGUUUGAUCUCGGAAGCUAAGCAGGGCCAGGCUUGGUUAGUACUUGGAUGAGAGACCACAUGGGAAUACCAGGUGCUGUAAGCU